UACGUAGGGUGCGAGCGUUAAUCGGAAUUACUGGGCGUAAAGCGUGCGCAGGCGGUUUUGUAAGCCAGGCGUGAAAUCCCCGGGCUCAACCUGGGAAUGGCAUUUGGGACUGCAAGGCUGGAGUGUGGCAGAGGGGGGUAGAAUUCCACGUGUAGCAGUGAAAUGCGUAGAUAUGUGGAGGAACACCGAUGGCGAAGGCAGCCCCCUGGGUCAAAACUGACGCUCAUGCACGAAAGCGUGGGGAGCAAACAGG
rnacentral:rRNA from 1 species